rnacentral:sRNA from 1 species
CGCCCCGGAAACGGGGCGCGGUUUUUG